rnacentral:rRNA from 1 species
AUACGUAGGGUGCAAGCGUUGUCCGGAAUUAUUGGGCGUAAAGAGCUCGUAGGCGGUUUGUCGCGUCUGCUGUGAAAUCCCGAGGCUCAACCUCGGGUCUGCAGUGGGUACGGGCAGACUAGAGUGCGGUAGGGGAGAUUGGAAUUCCUGGUGUAGCGGUGGAAUGCGCAGAUAUCAGGAGGAACACCGAUGGCGAAGGCAGAUCUCUGGGCCGCUACUGACGCUGAGGAGCGAAAGGGUGGGGAGCAAACAGGCUUAGAUACCCUGGUAGUCCACCCCGUAAACGUUGGGCGCUAGAUGUGGGGACCAUUCCACGGUUUCCGUGUCGUAGCUAACGCAUUAAGCGCCCCGCCUGGGGAGUACGGCCGCAAGGCUAAA